GUAGGUGGCAGGCGUUGUCCGGGAAUUAUUGGGGCGUAAAGCGCGCGCAGGCGGUUCUUUAAGUCUGAUGUGAAAGCCCACGGGCUCAACCGUGGAGGGUCAUUGGAAACUGGAGAACUUGAGUACAGAAGAGGAAAGCGGAAUUCCACGUGUAGCGGUGAAAUGCGUAGAGAUGUGGAGGAACACCAGUGGCGAAGGCGGCUUUCUGGUCUGUAACUGACGCUGAGGCGCGAAAGCGUGGGGAGCAAACAGGAUUAGAUACCCUGGUAGUCCACGCCGUAAACGAUGAGUGCUAAGUGUUAGGGGGUUUCCGCCCCUUAGUGCUGCAGCUAACGCAUUAAGCACUCCGCCUGGGGAGUACGGCCGCAAAGGCUG
rnacentral:rRNA from 1 species